CCAGGACAUAGGUUUCAUCCCCAGCCCGGCACACCUCACCACACUGAUCUGGAGUCUGGCGCCCCCACUAGACUGUGAGUGCAUCGAGGUGGGAACCAGAGCUGUGCUGGCCUUGCCCAGUGCCGGAGAACCCGUGCUUGCUGGGCCUGGAGCUGCAGCCUGCAGUGGCCCCCGCAGGACCCGUGCCUCCAUCUCCACCGCUGUGUCCCUGGAGCCACAGAGAUGACUCUCAGCAAACAGCCACUGGAUACCAGAUACUGAUGUGACCGUGGGGGUCCUGGGAGCAAGCGGAACCCCUGAACGUCCGAAUGUGCUUGAAUAACUAGGCCUCCAGCCCACUGGCCCCUGGACUCGCCCUUCCGGCCGACACCCACCAGGGCCCCCGUCUCAGCCCCCACCUCCUGGACACCACGCGGUCAUCCAGCCUUCCCUGGGCCUGAAUGUGGAGCCAGAUGGCACCAGGCCUCUCCCCGCCUCCGCUCACCCAGCACACAGGAGCCCAGGGCAGAGGCGGUUCACAGCCCACAGGAUCAUGGAUCACGGUGAGGAUUUUACCACCUCAAGCAUCUGCCUUCCGUAGAACUCAUCUAAAAAUCACUGCGUGCUGUCAUGGCUUCUCAGGGACCAGAGGCAGGGACCCCUCCACCCAGGCAGAACCAACACAGCCUCCACUGUGCAGCCCUUUCUGCCCAUCCAUCGGAUGGUGCCCGGGGGUACCAUCAGGGGACAUGGGUGCACCCAGAGAGGUUCGGCAGAGUCUGAAACAAGGGUGGGGCUGAGGUUUGGCCCAGGUCAGGGAUGCCUUGGGUGCUUCAAAACCCCUCCUCCGAGAGGC